GUGACCUCAAAUCAGGUAGGACUACCCGCUGAACUUAAGCAUAUCAAUAAGCGGAGGAAAAGAACUAACAAGGAUUCCCCUAGUAACUGCGAGUGAAGCGGGAAAG
rnacentral:rRNA from 1 species